CAGCCUUAGUAGCACCAGUAUCCUGCAGAGGAGCUCAAGGAUCUGAAAAUGUACAUAACUUGAGACUUGAAGAACCAUUGGUGGAGACCGAGGAGUUCCAAGUGCAGAUGAUGUCCUAUGCAGCAGGAUGAGCCAGCAGAUGACAGGCAACAUGACACUUGCUCAAUCGAAAGCGAGUGCUUGUCACAAGGAUUCUGGAUGGUGUUUUCUUCUCCUCUGGAAGAUACAAAGAAACUCUACCAUUCAGCUCUUCCAAGGCUUCAGGCAUCUGCAUGGAAGGCACAGCAAGAGGAGAGACAGUGUCAGUGCAUCCACUGCUCCACCACAGUCUGCUUUCUCAUUAGGAAAACAAAAGGCCUCCCAGGAAUUCUGAGACCUGCAAAGAAGGAGGUAGAAACAGCUUUCAAAUGACUCAAAAGCGUUUUUAAAAAAAUCUAUUGAGUGAGUUCUCAUGUGAAGUUCAUAGAACACUCACUUCUUAGUUUGAAAAUUGGUAUUUGAGGGGUUGGGGAUUUAGCUCAGUGGUAGAGCGCUUGCCUAGGAAGCGCAAGGCCCUGGGUUCGGUCCCCAGCUCCGAAAAAAAGAACCAAAAAAAAGAAAAUUGGUAUUUGAGGAGCAAAUUAAACAUCCAAACUUCGUAAAAUCUUCCUAAAAAUAUAUCUUAAGGAAACCAAAUAGGUCCAAAUGAUGACUGUUUUCCUGUAUAGAAGACUCUUAAUUAAGAAUAUGGAAAGCAAUACAGAAUCAGAAAAGCCCACAUUCUGUAAUUCCUAUUAAAUUUAGCAAUUUAGUUACUAUGUUGAAUUCUAAUUAAAAUGUUUAGCUGUUGGGACCUAAGAAAGUCACAUAGGACCAAAAGUAACAGCGCAGAGAUUGCUGUCUUGUUGCUGAUGGGGAAAGAGGGGCUAAGGGUUCAGUGAAAGCUCAGACUGGACCAACAAGCUCAUCAGGUAAAGGAACUUGCUACCAAGCUUGGUGACUUGAGUGUGAUCUCUGGAAUCAGGUCCAAAGGACAGAACUCCUCCAAAAGUUAUCCACUGAUGCCACACAGUGCACAGUGGAAUUCAUGUGCACAAGUGCACACACACACACACACACACACACACACACACACACACACACACACAGAGGAAAGAGAGGGGAGGCGUGAAUAAACAUAAUAUAUUUUGCAAAGGCUCAAAUGUCACAGUACCUAAGAAUGAAUCUUAGCAUCCAGUCAGUGUUGCAGAACAGAAGGCAGAAGCAGGCCAAGUCUUCAGCAAGCUAGCAUGUUUCUAAGAAUGUGGGUCCUGAGGCAAAACAAGGUUUGGAACCAGGGUGUGUCCAAACAAAUGGACCAUAAAAGGAUUUUUUGAGGACUUGAUUGAGACAUUUGCACUUGGACCAGAAUUAUUGUUAAUGUUGGCAUUCAUUCUACACUCCACUGAGCCAAGCUCCCUGGGCAAGCCAUCCCCAAAUAGGACUUGGAAGUGCCAUUUCCACAUCUAGCUACUAGGAUAAAGAGUCCCACCUCUAAAUCCCCUGCCUGUGAGUUCAGAGCAUUCCAGGGGUAUCUGAAAAGAUCUUCCCAGUACAGGCCCAAUACCUCUGAGACAUUCUCAUGCUCUUCCUACCCCAGCUUUAAUCUCCUUGAUGGUGACCUGGGCCCUUGAAAACAAAAGUAAAAAGUUCUUAAGAAGCUGUGGCUUUUUGUUUAGCUUCUGGUUCUUAGUGGCUUUGAUGAAAAGCUGAAUUAUAGGAAAAAAGAUUUUGCACAUUAAUUUGGGAUCAUAGAAUUCACAUCCAACAAACUGGCGAGACUGGACUCAGAGCUGGAGAGGGGAGACCCAGAUGGAACUUGAGAACUGUCCAAAGCUACAUCCCAUUUCCCUUUGCAACUGCAAGAGCGGGAGAGACCGAUUUCUGAGUUGUGCUGAUUUGUCCUAUACUAGGCUUGGUAAUGAGAAAGCACAGUGCCUCCGUUUGUAGCCUCAAACUCCAGGCUCUCCUAUCUCAGUUCCCCAUGCAUCAGGAAGGCAUGUAUGCGCUGCCACAGCGCUAGCAGGAACAGGAAGCUUUCUGUGUUCUGUUAUCUUCUUCAUGGGCUGAGGCUGAGCCUGGAGUCUCCAUGUCAGUAGCAUCUUUCAAGGCUGUUCCUCUGCAGCUCUGCAAAAUUUUUUUAAAAUACAAACCAAGUUUAUUUUGCCUUUUAAGUAGUGUUCAUAUAGCGCUACAGCUAGGUAAACAAUAUGAAUUAGUAUACGUCAUCUCAAAAGCCAGAGUCUUAUUAUCAUUGUUGUUGUUUUUUAAUGGGUUGUGAAAAAGAUGCAGCCUAUUCUAACAGGAUAAAUAUUUUUUAACCAUUUCACUUUGAGUUAAUGAAGGCUCAUAAAUGAGCAACACUCCUCAUUGAGGAAAACAGAAAGCUACAGCUCACACACACCAGCAAAAAGAACUGUGUAAAAAUAACUAACUGUUCCCUUAUUAAACAUUAACCACUGGGGAGAUGCCUGGGGAGGUUCACUGUCAGAAUAUUUAAGCACUUGGGCACCCUCUAGAGGAACAUCUUGAAAACCUUCAAAACUUCAUUUGGAGAGGUUCACUGUCAGAAUAUUCAAGCACUUGGGCACCCUCUAGAGGAACAACUUGAAAACUUUCAAAACUUCAUUUGGAAAUAAGAAAAAUCUGAUUUUACCUAAGCUAUGAAAUUUUAAGCUCAGAAGUACCACUUGGACAUUUUUAUUUGGAAACCUCUCCAGAAGGUGUCUUGCUCUAAAGCACCCAUGAAAUGGGCGCAGCCACUGUCUUUGCUACUGUUCCAGUCUUUUCUGUACAGCAACACAGGGACAAUCAUCUCCAGUUUCUGAACUGCAGUAAACUGUAAGCACUGCUACAGUGUGGGACAGCUAGCUUUCCUCCAGUUCUUAGGGAUAGCAUUCUUAACAUUUGAAUGCCUGUAGCAUCGCUCAUCUUUGUCCCUUCUUCCUCCCUCCUUCCUGUCCUUCUAUUUGUCUGUGCUAGACAAGGUUCUGCCAUUAGACUGUCACCCCACAUCUGAGUUUCUUUUCAUAGGAUUAAGUCACCAAAUCAUAUAAGGUGACAUCCCCUGAGAUGACAGCUUGUUUCCAUGUGUUCCUUAUGGCUGUUCUUUUGAGAAAGGCUCUCAAUGCACAGCCCAGACUUAACACAACCUAGAGAUCCACCUGCUUCUGACUCCCAGACCACAUCACUUUCAUCUGAAAUGAGAUUAAAAGCUCAAGUUUCAACUUUUGUCCCCAGUCCUGGGAGCUUUCUCUCUUGAAGAUGCUCUGAUAAUUUAGUGGGCCAGCGUUGAUUGGAAUCAGUUUGACUUUGGGUUGGUAAAAAUUUUCACUGAGUUCAUGGACUUCAUUUCUUUUCUUUGAGUCUCUGGGAACCUGGUUCUUAUUUUGGUCUUCAGGGCCCAAGAGUCCAGAGAUUAGAAAUAUACCAAAGGUGAAGAUUCUAGUAAGAAACCUUGUCCCAUAAACUCAGGCCUUAAAGAGAACAAACGCUAAGGAUGACUUAGAAGUAAAGGCAAUGUAUUUUUACACUCUGUUCAUGGGGAGAAUAAAAAUCAGUAAGAUAGACGGAAAGAGGACACUAAAGAAAACAAAGACCUGCCCAUGAGACCUUACAGGUAUCUGUUGGUUGGGGUUUUCUGUGAGCUUGUAGCCCCAAUAUCAUCUCACCUGGAUGUUCUACUAACAUCAUGCCUGGUUGAGUUUACAGUUGUUUAAGAUCAGACAUAGUACCAGUGUCAUAGUCAAUGUUCUAUUGCUAUGAAGAGACACCGUGACCAUGACAACUCUUACAGAGGAAAAUUUUUAAUUGGGACUGGCUUAACAUUUUCAGGGGUCUAGUCUAUUAUUGUCACGGGGUAGGGGGUUGGGAACACAGGAAGCCAUGGUACUAGAGAGAUAGCUGAGAUUUCUACAUUCCAAUCAGCAGGCAGCAGGAAGGGAGCAAAGGCAUUGGGCCUAGCUUGACCAUUGUUAGAUUCUCUUUUUGAUCACCAAGAAACAAAUAGAUUUAGGUCUGUGGAGAUUUCCAGGCAAAUGUGGUGAUUAGGCCCUGUAAUUGUAACAACUUGGAGACAGAAAAUAAGUCAUGGUGAAGACCAACUUCAGCCCAGAGUGAGACCCUGUCUCAAAAAAAAAAAACCCACAAAGAAAAACAAACAAAGAAGAGCCUGAAGAAAUGUACCACACCUUGAUUACAUAACCUUCUGGAUACCCUGAGAGAUUACUGGGGUCAGGCUAGUUGGACAAUAAAUCUUAACAGUGAACAGCACUGAUCAAUCAAUAGGUCUUGACAGUAUAUAAAGAGAAAGGGGGUGGAGCAUAAGUAUUCAUUGCUGUCUGCAUUCUUAGAGAGGAUAAUAUGUAGACAGCUGCUCAACCUGCCAUGGUGGACGAUGGCCUCCAAUUGUUGGCCAACAUACACCACUUCAUUAAGUUGAUUCACAGGCAUGUGAUUUAGUAAUGGGGAAGGAACUCAUGUGGUAGGACAUCUACAAAUCCGUGUGAACAGGCAGGCAUGUUAAAAAUAGGGAAAGGGUCCAGAGGAAGCUUCAUAAACAAGAAAAUCUCCAAAUUGCAGUCUUUAAGUAUACUGUAUGUACAACACCAACAUUAACAUGUAAAACAUAUCCAGAUUUCAAGGAGAGACAUUCUAGUCAUGGUGGCACAUGUGUGUAAUCCCGACACUGGGAAGAUGAAGCAGGAGGAUCUCUGUGAGUUUAGGUCAGCCAGGACUACAUAAGCUGGGAAGUGGAGUGGAGAUCUAUGAUUGCAAGGAGUGUUGUAGUCUAGAAGCCAGGAGAGGCAAUUUGAACAGACGGUAGGUUUACUUCAUUACUAUAGCAACUAGGACUCUGCUUCAUUGAUUCUAGUCUUAGGGAAGAAGAAAAAUAAGAUCCUGCAUAUAGGUUCCACUUUUGAGCCAAGAUUCUGGAGCCAUGGCAGUUUGGGAAUCUUUUAGGGAAGUAUGAUCUCAAUCAAUGAUUCUCAGCCUCCCUAAUCCUGUAACACUAAUAUAUUUUCUCAUGGCUUUGUGACUCUUAACCAUUACUUCAUUUUGCUUCUCUUCAUAAUUCAAAUUUUGCUCCUGAUUUGAUUAUAAAGAAAAAUGGAUGGAAUAUCUGAUAUGGAAAAUAUAUGUGACCCCGUAUUGAUUAUGACCCACAACUUGAGAAACACUGGUCUAAACUGCUAAUUUUAAACAAAAAUGUUUUUCAAGUACUUUCUACAAUGUACAUUGACCAUUACUAUUUUUGUUUUAUUUUUAAUAAAAAAAGGAUUUUAUUAUUAAAAUCGAUGGAAGCUUAUUAACCUUGGAUUUUUAUGAAAAUUGGCUUAGCAUCCCAGAUGGAACUCUGGCUGGAAAAAUUAAUGGCAUUCAAAGGUAAUGAUACAGUAAACACUUGGGGAACUGCACCAAUAUAGAAGCAAUGCUUUUGUAAGGUACAUAGGCUUAUGUUUACAGGAUUAUAAACUGGAAUGAUGUUCUAUGCCAAGAGGUUUCCUUAGGUCAGACAUGUUUUGUCACUUUUUUGACAUUCCCAUUUCUCAAGCUAGCAUGUUGAACCAUGUCUGUAAUCUUACCUGGGAGCCUUCUCCUUUAUAAAUGUCAUGAUUUAGAAGACAGUCUAUGCAACACCGCAUGUUCAGGUCAGUUUAGAGUAUUGGUUUAGUUCCUGUGUGAGACAAAUUAAAAGAAGUAAGUAUGUAUAAUACCUGUGGGUUACUUGCAUCCUAGAAUUGUUACCAUGGUAUUGUGAAUAGUUCACAUGGUCAAUAUGUGUCAUUGAUUAGAACAGGAAUCUCUUACUGAAUUCUUCUUUCUCAACUGUAACUACCUAGAGACGUCUAGAUCAGGUAUACCUUUGACUUUUUUGAAUCAUUUUUCUGUGUGAUACAUAGAAUGAUUUCAUACUUAACCAGAGCUUUGAACUCCCAUUGCAACCCAGGAGCCCUCCAUUUCUGUCUUGCUGUAGCAAAGCUUUUAUAAUUGCAUUUUGUAGGGUCACAAGUGUGCUUUCGGCUCCUUAUGUUCUAGAGUGUCACAAGAGUGUUACAUGGAUUCAUACUACAUUAGAUAUUAAAUGUGUCUCCAUUCCAUUGUGGUUGGAAAGAUGGUUUGCUGUUUAAUAACACUGGAUGUUUUCAUACACAGAACACACAUGGUUUUCAAAAAUCUUCAUUCAUUCUAAUACCAGGGCAUUGAGUAGAUUCAUGAGUGUGAUUUUGUUCCUUAUGUUCUAGAUUGUUAUAAGGGUGUGUCAUCGAUUCAUAAUACAUUAGAUAUUAAAUGUGUCCCCAUGGUGGCAAGAAAAAUGGUUUGCUGUUUGAUAACACUGGAUGUUUUCACACACAGAACAUACAUGGUUUGCAACAAUAUUCAUUCAUUCUGUUACCAAGGAUCCUGACAUGUUCUUCUGGCUUCUGUAGGUAGCAGUCAUACAUCUAGGACACUGAAAUUUAUAAAUAAUUUGAAAAAUGUUUUUUCCGUGAUUCUGUACAGAAAAGUGAUUUGCAGAAAAUAUUUUAUGUAAUACUCUAGCUAUAUAUUCUUACUUCUUUUGAAUUCUGAUUAUACUGUGAGUUGGACUACAAAACAUUUACCCUAUUUGUUCUUUGUAGUUAGAUUUCUAACUUACAUUGUUUUCAAGAUGGUCUAACCUAAAAUUCUCCUUUUUCUUUGUUUAGCCUUUUGCAACAGAUCCCAGAACCAAACUUUAUACUAUUAAAACAUCUCAUAUGUGCAUUAGUAAUAAUAAAAGAUUCUUCCAUGAAUAAUUUAGACAGUUACAAGUUAUCUCUGCGCAUAGCUCCACAUGUACUGUGGGGUCAGACUUCGAGAGAUUCAUUAUUUGGGAGUGACGUCUUUUUUUUUUCAGGGGAAGGAAAGGGUUUAUUUAUCUUAUACUUCCAUUUCAUAUUUCAUCACUGAGGGAAGCCCAAGGCAAGAAACUUGAGGUAAAAACUGAAGAAGAGGCCACGGAGGAAAAAUGUCUGCUGGCAUCUUCUGAUUCUGGUCAGCUAGCUUCCUUAUAAAAGUCAGGACCCCUGCCCAGGCAUACCUCUGUCCACAAUGGGUUAACCCUUCCUCUAGCAAUUAGCACAUAAGAACACGAUCUCCUGACAUACCAAUGGACCAAACUGACUGCAGUCAUUCCUCAACUGAAGCUCCCUCUUCUUCCAGAUGUGUCAAGUUGAUAACCAAGCGUAGCUAUCACAAUUGCCCAGCUUUCAACUCCACUCAUUCUCUGGAGCUCCACGAAGAAAACCUAGGGUUUAUUAUUUUCUUCCCUCAGAUCAUAUUUCUUCUAACUCUUGGGAGUGACGUCUUAAGAAAGAUGUCUCUUAUACAAAUUAUGAUUGACAACUAUGAUCAAAUAUUUGGAAAUGAUGAUAUAUUUAGUAAACACACUGACAAAAGGUCUGAAGACUUAAAGACAUAAAAAGAAUCAAUAAAUUAUUCUAGAAAUUCUCCUAUUAUGACAAAGCCAUAGCUGGCCACAACUGGAAAACCAAUGAUAUUGAUGAAAAAUUUAAUAUUUCAUAUGCUGCACUGCAGGAAGAAGGUCCUACAGAGAAACAGAAAGGCUAUAUAUAUACAUACCAAGCCACCAGUUUAUUCUGAUCCAACACCACCAAGAAAAAAAUGCUUAUUUGGCAAAAAUCUUACAAGCAUUUAUGUCGACAGAAAGCUGCCUGCUCCAAAACUUGUAUCAUUUUGGCUUUCUAUAGCACCUUUCUCCUCAGUAAGCUAUUUAAUCAAACUGAGGAAUGUUCAGAUAACCGAUCUAUGAGAGUAAGAUCAUUUUAAAACAGAAAUAAGUUCUACUGUAUUUUGAAUAAUGUAAUUGAAAGAAAAAGAGAAGAAAUACCAUUCCCAUGUUUUGCACUGACUGCAUCAAAGAUUCAAACCCACCAGUAUGUUGGAGAAAAUAAUUCUAUGCAAGUGCCCCACUAAUUACCCAACUGUAAAGUCUUGCAGCUUCUUUAUGACUCCACAUAUCUCUAGAAUCUCCCUUAAUAUCAUUGCCUCUGAAAUUACUCAAUACUUAAAAAUAUCUGUAGGCUUUUCCUUUAAAUGAUCAAUGAAUUAGAUGAAAACACUGGUUUUUUUAUAUAUAUAUUGACAUCAUUUAUCCUAGUGGACUAUAUUUAAAUGCCAUCUAAUAUGGCUUAAUCUUUUUUAAAUGAGUGAUUAAACUACUUUGGAAACAUAUCUUUAGUAUCCAACAUCUCUUUUAGCACUAUAGCUGUGAUAGGAAUUUAUGCUGUUUGUGAAGAAAUUUAUCCUGUCUGACACAUGAGCAUUACUGCCAAUUUCUUAGGUAUUUUAGAGAAGAAUUUUCUGGUAACCUUGUUUGUAUUCGUGUAAUCAAUUUAAAGUGGAGUAAACCCAUGCAUGGUAGUCAUGUUUACAGAGUAAAUUAUGGAAGAAUGAUAGAAAUAUGCUUGGUUUUUUAAAUGUGAAAGCAUCUGUAGACAUAGUUGAAAUUAAGAAGUCACAGAAUAAGGAUAUAAAAGUCUCAGAAAUAUGGUGAAAAAAUAUUUCUUCAAAACACAAAAGUUAGGAUUCAUAAUACAUGCCAGGACAAACAGUAAGUAAAAUAGUGAGUUGAUCUCUGGAAGGGAAAUGUCCCAACAUUUACUUAAGAUGCCAGGCUUGAGAAAGAUAUUGAUAGAAGGAAACACAAAGUAAUAGAGGCCUAUUCACCACAAUGCUUUGGGAAACAGAAGUCCCAACAAAACCAUGAUGUUACAAAUUGGGGAAAAAUGGAUUAGGGAAGAAAAUGUAUUUGGAAGCUAAAACAGAAAAAAAGUUCAAUGACUACUUUAUUCCUCUCAGUUAUAGCUGUGCAUCCAAAACUGUCCUUGCUUAGGUUCACAAUAAAAGACAUAUUUGUGCUUCAGGUGUGGAGCUCUAAUACUACAUCCUUAUCCCACACAGGAUAUGUUAUCCAUAAUUUCAGGUAAAGGACGAGAAUCAGAUCACAUAUUUGAAAUUCUACCUGAAAAUUCACAUUGGUGCCUCAGAGAGAGGAAUGACAGUGAACAACUCAUUGAAUGGAUUAAAGAAUUCAUGCUUGUAAUACCAUCUGUCAUGAAGGGUCUCUCUCAUUCCCUGAGCUGAAUUGGGACACUUGGGUUGUCCUUCUACCCAGGCACAUCAACUCUCUUCAGGUUUAGCACAUCUUCUCCCCCUAAGGCCAGGACUUCAUUGCAAACAUUGAAGGAAGUUUACUUACUUCUGACUUACAUGAGAAUUGACUUAGCGUCCCAGAUGAAGGAACUCUGGUUGGAAAAAUUAAUGCCAUCCAAAGACUUCUACUGUAGAUUCCUCAGGCAAACUUUCUCCUUCUAAAGCAUCUCAUUUGCGUAUUAGUAAUAAUAAGAGACUCAUCCACGAAUAAUUUAGACACUCACAGGUUAUCUAUCCGGAUAGCUCCUUAUGUUUUGUGGGAUCAGACUACAAAGGACGCAUGGUUUGGGAGUGAUGUAUCAAGAAAGAUGUCCAUUAUACAAAUCAUGAUCGACAACUAUCAUCAAAUAUUUGGAAAUGAUGAUAUAUUUAAUAAACAUAUUGACAGAAGAUCUGAGGAUUUAAAGACUUGUGCAGAUUCAAUAAACUCUUCUGGCAAAUCACCUAUUAUGAAAGAAUUCCUAGCUGACCACAACAAGAAAACAUGCGAUAAUAGUGAAAAAUUAAAAAUUUCAUCCGUUGCUCUGCAGGAGAAUGGUCCUACAGGACAGAACAGAACAACUACCACAUAUAAGUGGUAGAAGAUGACUGAAGACAUUAUAAGGUCAUUCUAUUUUAAUGUUCCCUUCUACCUUCCACUUAAUCAUAGCAGAACAAUUAUUACAACAUCCUGUUUCAGCAUUCAUAUGCUAUCAUAAUAAAUGUUAAAAUAAAUAAAAGUGUUAUUGCUUACA